UACGCGUAAUUGAAUGUCAUUUGCAAAAUAACCGUCUCGUUAAACCGAAAUUAAUAAUAAUAAAAGAAGGUUAUAUAUUAUAUAAUACCUACUGGAAAUAUUUUAAGGUUAAUUGUUGUAAACUGAAAACGUUGCGAACGUUCGUCUGGCGCUUCCGUCUCGAUGAAAGGCCCGAAAAAAUAAUUAUCGUUCGCCCGUUUUUCGA